UUUAGCUCCAAAAAUAACGAGGGGAUAAUAUUUGGUCAUUAAAAAAAUACAAAUCCCAAACCAUUACCCUUCUUUCAAACAACACUUCUUCCCUAGAAACUACCGUCUGCUCUCAUCCAGAACUUGCAAUUGCUAUCAAGAGUAAAUUUCUGGUAGAAGAAAUAACUGAUCGUCACCCCCGUCGGCAUCAAUUUUUCAUCUUAGAGUUCAUUCUGAUCAAGAUAUUUCUUUUGUGAGGAAGUAGUAUUUUAUGAAGAUGGUGAGCCUGAGAUAGAUGGUGACCUGGAGACUUGAAGUUUUGACUUUUAUCCCAUGCUACACAAAAUGGACUUCAUUAUUAUGUAUGAUUUUCCUGUGACUUGUAUUCUGUCUUUAUUAUAUCUUUGUAUAGUUCGGCAUUCGCACAGCUCCUCAUGUCCGCUUCAAGAGAGAAGGAAAUGACCUAUACACAACUGUUACUAUUAUUCUGAUCAUGAAUAUGAAGUUUGAACAACCUAUCCAUGAAGAAAGUGCAAAGCAAGUUAAAGUACAAGAAGUUGAUUAAGUUUUGUUAGGGGUGGUCUAAAGAUGUCUUAUGUACAUAUACUGGAAUUCUAUCCUCUCUUUCUAGGAGUUGAUAAAAAUAGUGUCAUACAAUUUUGAUGGAUACAUUUUUGGCAAUGUAAUGCUUUAGUUAUUUGUAUUGGCUGUGAAAUUUGAUAUAGUUAUUUUAUUAUUUGGUAUAUUUGGAUGUGUGGAAGCAUAUGAAGUAAUGAUUCCUUUCUGAAA